rnacentral:lncRNA from 1 species
UGGAAGUGUUUGAGCAAAAAAGAGGGGAAAAAAACUUUCAGAAGCAGAAAUUUCAACGCAUAAACUGAGAAAUUGAAAAUUAAGCAUAAAAAAAAAGUGAAUUAAGAAGAAAAAGGUGAGAAUUGAAGAGAAGAAAGAUGAGAGAGGUUACCAGAAAGGAAGAUCUAGAGACUGAGAAGCAAGAUCUGAGGGUUUGAAGAACUAAAACCUCUGAAAAAUGGGAGAAGAAGCUUCAUACAUUUUGGACCGUUGGAUCGUGAUCGUAGAAACGUUGAGGUCCGAAAUAUAGAAAUAUCGGAGGUGAGUGAGAGAGAGAAAGAGAGAAGAAACACAGGUACUGGUUCGUAAUUUCUCAGCGAAGUUUCGGGUAGUUUGGGCAGCGGAAAGAAAGUGUAAAAAUCGAAUUACGGGCUGCCCGAACAUGCAAGUAAGGACAAGUGUGGGUUUUGUUAAUUUGAUAUGGUUUUUUAUGAGAAUGAUUUUUGUUCAUUACCCGGUCUUCACCGGAAAGUCAAGUUUUUUUAUUCUUAAAAAUAACUAUAAAAUCUUUUUAAUAGUAAAAAUACUUCACACGUGUAAGAGACUCUCACGUGUGAUGUAGUACCUGUUGUCUGCAAUAUUCUUCCUAAGAGGUUAUCUUCUUUGACCAUGGUUAGUUACUUGGUUUAGCUAGGGUUGACUACACCAGAUGGAGUUGGAGAGUUGUUGAAAUAUCAAGGGUAUAAUAAAUUCGUAAAUUAAAACGGAAUCAAAACCACGGAGAUAUUUUUCGGAAUUAAAUAAUCUGGCAUAGGGAACCUUUUAAAGGUGGAAUAAACCAUCAAACAAUUUUAAUUGAGCUCCCGAAUAAGUAAAAGUUAAAGGUUAAUGAUUCAAAAUAAAAAAUGAUUGAUGAAUUUUACUUUGAAAGAAUUACUUUAUAUUGUUUUAAUGUGUUGAAUACACAAUUUUUAAAAUAAAAUUUUUAUUUUAAAUUUUUUAACAAAUAUCUUUAGAACGCUUGUUAGCAUUUUUCAAAGUUAAAUACUACUCUCUCCGUUUCUUUUUAAGUGUCAUUUUUAGAGAAAUUUUUUGUCCUAUUUAAUUGUCACUUUCAAAGUUCAAUAUAACAAUAAAUGUUGUUUUACAAACAUUACCCUUAAUUAUUUAUCAUGGAGAAAGAAAUAUAUGAAAUAAGAUAUUAAAUGACUAAGGCUAUUAUAGUAAAAGUAUAAAUUAUUAUAUAAGAAAAAAUAACAUUUAUUGAAUGUCUUGGUUUGUGUAAAGUGUCAAAAAGUGACCGUUAAAAAGGAACGGAGUUAGUACAACUUUGAUCCUUAUAACUUCUAAAAAAAUAGGUGUCACACAAUUUUCAAUAAACAGUUUUUCUUUGUUCCAAAAGUAAUGUUCCAAAAGUACUUAUAGCAUUUAUCUUAAAAGUUAAAAUGUUAUGCUAACAAGUUUUUCAAGAGCAUUUGUUAGAAAUUGAAAAUGAAAAUAAGUGACAAAUUCAAAGCGAAAUAAGUCAAUUUUAAAAAGUUUAAAGGUGUUAGAUACAUCAUUUUUAAGAGAGUGUUACUUUUCCCAUCCUGUGUUAUUCUCGCACGCCUUUUUUUUUUUUUUAAAUAUCCCUGGUCCGGAUUUUAUUUUUCGAACCAGAUUGUUAGUGUUUUCUGAAUUUUAAAAGUCGGAAAGCUCUUUUUCUAGAAUUUUUUUAUUUUAAGCUUUCAAAUUCGUAAAAUAAUUGCAAAAAAAAAAUAUAAAAUAGAAAUAAAAAGACAAAAAGAUAAAAACAACUCAUUUUAAUGAUACAGUAUAAACUCUAUAAAUUAAUAAUGUCGGGACCGGAGAAAUUUAUUAAUUUAGAGAGUUAUUAAUUUAUUGAUAAAUUAAUAAUUAUUAAUUUAAAGAGUUUUUAAGUAAUUAUACUGUACAUACCAAACAAAAAGGCAAAUUAGUCUAUGUCUCUUAGAAUUACGUUGCACCAAAUCUUGGGACUCAAUGUAAAUUAAUAAAUAUUGUAUUCAUAUCCAUUGGAAAUAUGACUUUUGACUUUUGAAGUGUAUAGUAAAUGUAAACAAGUGGAAUGUUCAAUGUAUUCUUAAGCAAGUUUGGCAUAUAUAAAUUACACAUGAAUGUGUUAAAAGUAUUCAAACCAUAUCUCACUCACGAGAUGGCUUCUCAUCUAAAAGGUGUUGCAAAAUCAACUAUGUCAGAUCAAAUACGUAAGGAGUUGUGCGAGUACAAGAGAGAUAAUCCUGCAAGCACACAAAAAGACUUGCAGAGAUGGCUUGAGGAAAAAUUUCAGUUGAAAGUUAGUCAAGGAACAAUAUCAAACACACUUAAGCGGUCAAAUGACUAUCUCUCUGCUGAAAUAGAAAAGGGAAGAGCGGAGAUCAAAAGACACAAACCAGCAAAAUAUCCUGACAUGGAGAAGGUUGUUUAUGAGUGGUUUCUACAGCAUCAAGAACGUGUGAAUAUCACAGGAGAAUUAAUUUUGCAGAAGGCAAGAGAUACAACGAAACUCUUGUACCCUCAUGAUGAUUCAGAUUUUAACUUCUCUACAGGAUGGCUUGGGAAAUUCAAGCACCGACAUGGCAUAAAGUCAUUUCGUCGUUUUGGCGAGAGUGGGUCUGUUGAUGUACAAGACAUGGAGCAGAAAUUGGUAUCGAUUCGAGAGAAAAUUGAUCAGUUCCCUAUGAAAGAUGUUUUCAAUAUGGAUGAAACUGGGUUGUUUUAUAGGCUACAAGCUGAUCAUUCACUGGCAACAAAACAACUUGAAGGAAGAAAACAAGAUAAAGAAAGGCUGACGGUAGUUAUUUGUUGCAAUGAAGGUGGCUCUGAAAAAAUCCCUCUAUGGAUUAUUGGGAAAUAUGCAAAGCCUCGUUGCUUCAAGAAUGUCAACAUGAAUAGCUUGGAUUGUCAGUAUCGAGCUAACAAAAAAGCAUGGAUGACUAGUGUGCUUUUUGAUGAAUAUGUUCGUUCAUUUGACCAAAUGAUGCAUGGUAGAAGAGUUCUACUUGUGGUGAAUAAUUGUCCAGCACAUCCAAGAAAUAUUGAAGGGUUAAGAAACGUUGAGUUGUUCUUCUUGCCACCCAACAUGACAUCAAAGAUUCAACCUUGCGAUGCUGGGAUAAUAAGAGCUUUCAAGAUGCAUUAUCGUAGAAGGUUUUACCGCAAAAUAUUGGAAGGUUAUGAGGUGGGACAAUCUGAUCCAGGGAAGAUAAAUGUCCUUGAUGCUAUCAAUUUGGCAAUCCCAGCUUGGACGAUAGAUGUUCGAAAAGAAACAAUAGUGAAUUGCUUUCGACACUGUAAAAUUCGUUCAGCUAGUGACGUUGUAGGAAAUUUGGAUGAAUCCACUUUUGAUGAAGAAACUCAAGACCUCCAGACUAUGAUCAAUCAAUGUGGCUAUCGUAAUAAGAUGGAUAUCGACAAUCUAAUGAACUACCCAGGUGAAAAUGAAGCAUGUUCGGAGGUUCAGAGUUUAGAAGAUAUUGUGCGUACUAUCAUUGAGAACAAUGCAGAGGAUGACGACAAAGAUGAUACGGUGUCUUUGGAGCCUGUUACGCGAAAGGAAGCACUUAUGGCGUCGAACACUCUUCACAACUUUAUGAUACAAUACAAAAAUACAACACCUCAGCUAUUGGAUGCAAUAAGAAAAGUUAGAGAUGAGCUCCAAACAGACUUGAACUUAACAAACAACUAUUGAAUCAUAUUUCAACAAAGUGUAAUAUAUUUUUUUUCAGUUUCUAUGAAUUAUUAAUUUAUGAUUUUCUUGGGACCGAAAAUUAUAAAGGGAUCUCCCAAAAAAUUAUUAUCUUAUUAUUUUAUCGAAUUAUUCAAUUUUUUACACUGGCCUAAGUCGGGACCGGACAAAUUUAUUAUUUUAGAGAGUUUAUUAAUUUACCGAGUAUUAAUUUAAAGAUUUUCUACUGUAUAUGAAUAAUACAUUACAAUAAUGUUGAAGUUUUUUAAACUUAUUACAUAAUAACCUAAAACUAUUUCUAAUCUCCUAAGUUAUAUUAGUGGCUACCACUGGUGGAGAGGAAAGAGGAGGGAGUGGAAGAAGAAAGUGAUGAUGGCGAGGGCCGGUAUUGGUGUAGUUAUAAGGGGGUUAUAUUUUAUUUAAUGUUAUUGUUUGAAUAUUUUGGAUAAUUAUGUUAUGUAACAUUUGGAUAAUUAUGUUUGAUUAAUGUUCAAUGUUUGGAUAAUUAUGUUGUGUUGUUGUUUGAUUAAUGUUAUAGAUUGAUUUUUCUGUUUGAAAAACUGGUCGAAAUCAUAACCAGUUGAGUGUCGUUGCUCUAAAACAGAGGCUCAGCCAAAACAAAUGGCUUAUGCUUCUGUGCUCAUGCAGUUCGGAUUAUAAAAUCCAGAAACUCAUUUUGCACCCCAUUUGGUGACUUUCAACGGGAUGAUUUACACAUUUCGGAUUAUAUAAUCUGGAAUGUGUAAAAACAGUUCGAAUUAUGUAAUCUGAAUCCAUCCGUUGAAAAUUGAAAUCGACAAAUUCCUUCAUUCUUCACUUCAUCUCUUUUCUUUCAUUUUAUUCAAAAAAUUUAAGUUUUGUAGAAGUGCUUGUAGUGUCAGUGCCAUUGUUGACCGUUCAUACGACUCCUGCAAUUGCAUUGCAACUUAAGCGAGGGUUAUAUAACGGUCAACAGAGACCCUUGACAUCAAAAAAGACACAAAAAUUUCAUAUCGAUUUUGUCCUGUCUUUGUACCAAAUUCUCAAUUUGGUCCCUUACUCUAUUAAUAACUCAAAAUGGUCUUGGUAUUUGUCAAAUAUUUUUCAGAUUGGUCUCUGACUCUAUUAGUUGUUUUGCAUUUUAAGUGUUAAUGGCUCAAUGUCUUUUGGAUAUUAUUCAGUUGUUAAUGACAUAAUACCUUUUGGAUCCUAUUUGGUGCGUCAAUGACUUAAAAUGCAAAACAAAUAAUAGAGUCAGGGACCAAUAUGAGGAAUGUUUGACAAAGACAUGAACCAUUUUAAAUUAUUAAUAGAGUCAGGGACCAAUUUGAUAAUUUGGUAUAAAGACUGGGACCAAUUUCGUGGUUUAAUCUGGAGUAAUUUGAAAGGCCAACAAUUAUAGAGGAUGUAUUUCAUAAUGUAUGACAACUAAUGUGUAAAAUACACGGUUUUUGAACUAUAUUAGUGUCACCAUGAUAUGACUAAACUAAUGUAAUACAAUUUUAUCAGAUGACUUUUUAUACUACAGUUUUGAUUUACAGUAACUUAUUCGUGUCUGUUUCAUACUCGGCUAACUGCUAGCAACUCUUAUCAAAUUCAUGGUUGCUGCAAACAUUUUAAAUCAACAUUCAACAUCAGGAAGAAAAAACAGAUAAUUUCUAACAAACGUCUAAAUUACUAGAACAUGAGUUCAAGUUAAAACCCCCCCCCCCCCCCCCCCCCAAACGUUUUAUCUACAAUUGUUAAAGGAGCAUCCCAAAUACACCAUGGUUGGGUGCUCUUCUUACUGCAAGAAAGAAAGGAAAAAAAAAAAACUUCUGUCAUUGGAAGGUAUUAGAAAUUGAUGCAAUGGCAGAAUCCUUCCUCAAAUAAUAUAUAAUAGCACCAACAUUUUUGAGACCGUAGAUAAAUACAAGAAAAAUACUGCUAAAAUCCAAGGAAACAUGAAACACGCAGUGAAGUCUGCUGCUGGUACGCAUAAAGACAAGCGCACAAACGCCUCUGAAAGUAGAGCAAUGUAGCAAACUGGCCCAUUGGAAGUAGUUCACACUUCAUAUCAUUUGCUUAGAUCAUCCUCUACCCCGCCCAGCACCUACCAAAAGAAGAAAAGGUAUUUGAUUACUAUACAUUCUUUAACUUCAAGCUAUCAUUUCAAAAAUUAAAAAACAUAUAUAAUUUUUAUGCAUUUUUCGAACAAUAAAAUUUAACAUUAGAACCGUCACAUUAAAGAAUUGGUAAGACGUUCUUUCAACAAUAAUAACCUUUUUAGCAGAAUAACUUUCUAGUUUAUCAAGAGCUAAUCUUGUCUAGAUGAAAAAUAAAAGAUAAUACCAGGAAACUCUGAGAAAUAUGACAUGGUGAAUUUGAGGUAUUAGAUCAUAUGAUAAAUAUCUUAAAAUAUCUAAAUUCUCAAAGUAUCUUAAAUUAUUUCUUACUUACAAUUAGCUUCUGUAUUAUUUUUUUUUUAUAUUUUGUAAUUUGCUUCUUUAUUUGAUUAGAAUUAUAAAUCUAGUAUAACAAGUAAAGGUUAAUAUUUAGGGCCUGUUUGAAUCAAUUCCCGUUUUCAGUUCUCAAAUUUUCAUUUAUAAAUUAGUUUUUAAAAACUAUUUUUGAAGAAGAAAAUAAAAGAAAAAAUGUUUGGCAAUCAAAUUAGCAAAAACUGUUUUCAGGAUUGAUGUUAUUACGGAAAUGCCAUUAAUGAAAAGAGCUAGUUCUCCGUGUUUUUAGUUUGCAAAGGAAAAUCAAACCAAAAAAGCAAAACACCUAAAACCAGUUUCUGUUUUUUAGUUUUGAAAACUGAUUUUUUCAAAAUUGUUUCCGAAACUGUUAUUUCAAAAGUGUUUAAUCAAACAAGUUUUUAGUUCUUUAAUUUUUAAAAACCACAAAACAGUUUUUAAAAACUAAAUCAAACAGGCCCUAGUCUUUUGUAUCAUAAUUUAAAUAGAAGAAAACACAUAGAGGUGGUAAAACAUAAGAUGAGUGCAUCUAUGAUUUACCUCUGCUUCCUCCAGGCUUUCCACCUUGGCUAGUCCUGCCUCGGCCUCCGGCUCCUCUAGCACCACCAUCAUCAAAACCACGCCCAGGGCCUUUUGUUUGGCGUCCACCAGCACCAGCAGCAUCCUCCCUACCUCUACCCCUACCACGUCCCACACCAGGUGGCUUGCGAUCUGAAAAGGGUGACAUUGAUCAGAUAACUUUAUUUUUUAUAUAACUGGAAGGCUGCAUAAAAUGACAUUUCAACUUGUGUGGGAAUAUAAAUAUAAAUUUAUCAUUUGCUCAUUUAUAAACAAAAUAGAUUUUUCCUAAGUCAGAAUCAAUCAGAAGAAAACUAUAUAUGGAUCUUUAUUAUAACGAGCACACCAAUAUUCAUGUAUCAAGAUAAAGACCAAGUGCUAGAUCCAACAGGGGAAGUUUGUUGGGUUUGUUAUGAGGCAUCCAAAACACUACAGAUAUGUAAUUUUAGUGGAUCUGACACCAUAUUUCAAUCCAAAAUCUCAAGGUGUCAGAUUCACAGGUACUUCCGCUUUAUAUCUUACUCAGCUUGCCCAUUUCAAGUCAAUUUAGGAUUUAUCACACACACACACAUGACAUACUUGAACUCUCAAAAUAAACUAGAUAUCAAAAUAAUACUUCGUACCUGUACGGCUCUUUUCUUCCUGAACUUUGUCAAUAACCUAAAUCAAAAGCAAUAAAGCAAAAUUAGUUGACAAAACUAUGUACAAGUCAGACAUCACUUAACAAAUUAUCUCCAAUGCAGAAGCUCUAAACAAAAGUAUGAGCACAGCCUUGAGGCUUAAACCCUCAAGCGCAAGGUUUUUCCCAACUAAACUCAUGACCAACAGAUCACAAGGUAAGGUUCACCUUCUUAGCAACCUAUUCGCCAAUGGUUUUCUUAAAUAACUAAAAGCGUACCAAUCAACACCAUUACAUACCUCAUCAGGAACUCGAAGGUACUUGAUCGUAUUUCCUCGUAUGUAGCAUUCAGGCAUCCGCCAAAAUCUAUCUCCAUCCUACAUUCCCAAUUUCAAUCAAAAUCCAUAAACCAACCUUUCAACAAUAACAAAUUAAAAAGACAACAAAACUAAGAACACUUAAAAGAGCAUUACUUUAGAGGUACAAAUAACUUCUCGGAGAUGAAUGUUCAUCCAUGUAUCACAAUUAACCAAAUGCCCGUUAUAUGUCUCUCCAUUUUUCAGCUCCACCAACUGUUACAACAAGUUCAAAAAACAUUAAUUAACAACAACAAAAAUCAAAAAGUAAAAUAAAUAAAAAGGUUUUUGUUACUUACCAUAGGGUGGCCUUGUGCAGUCUUAAGAAGAGAAAGAGGAAGCUGCAACAAAAUAAAUGAACAUAAUUGCAAACAUAACAAUAAUUAACAGUGACUGUAACAUAAACCCUAGUAGUUCAAUUUUGUUAAAGAGAAUUUUCUGAUUCAUGGCGACAUGGUAUGAUGAAUCGAAGAAUUUGUUAAAUAAUAAAAUUUAGAAAAAGAAAGUAGUUACCAUGUUGAUGUUGAUGUUGAUGAUUGGUGUGUUUGAACUUCAAGUGCCGUCGAUGAUGAAGUUGAGCGAUUCAAAAGAGCAGAGUGUGAGAGAAAGCGGAGGAAGGAAAGAGAACCCUCACUUUGUGAUUGUUCUUGAUUCUUCUUUAUUCCCCUGUAUUUAUAGAGAAACUUAAAUGAAACAUGAAAAAAAUUGAACAACUCACCAAAAGUCUAAGUGUUGCAGCAAAAAAAAAAAACUUUCAGAAGCAGAAAUUUUAACGCAGAGACUGAGAAAUUGAAAAUAAAGCAUAAAAAAAUAAUUAAGAAGAAAAAAGUGAGAAUUAGCGAGAAUUGAAGAGAAGAAAGAUGAGAGAGGUUAACAGGAAGGAAGAUUUAGAGACUGAGAAACAAGAUCUGAGGUUUGAAGAAUUAAAACCUCUGAAAAAUUGGAAUUAAGAAGAAAAGCC